AUAAGGUUAAGUGAAUAAGGGCGCACGGUGGAUGCCUUGGCACUAGGAGCCGAUGAAGGACGGGACUAACACCGAUAUGCUUUGGGGGAGCUGUACGUAAGCUAUGAUCCAGAGAUUUCCGAAUGGGGGAACCCAGCAUCUUUAAUAGGAUGUUACGAUUGUGUGAAUACAUAGCACAUUCGAGGUAGACGCAGAGAACUGAAACAUCUAAGUACCUGCAGGAAGAGAAAGAAAAUUCGAUUCCCUGAGUAGCGGCGAGCGAAACGGGAAAAGCCCAAACCAGCAAGCUUGCUUGUUGGGGUUGUAGGACUCCAAUAUGGUAGUUCUUUCAGAUAGUCGAAUGACUUGGAAAAGUCAGUCAAAGAGGGUAAAAACCCCGUAGACGAAAUGUGGAAGACACCUAGGAGGAUCCUGAGUACGGCGGAACACGAGAAAUUCCGUCGGAAUCCGGGAGGACCAUCUCCCAAGGCUAAAUACUCCCUAGUGACCGAUAGUGAACCAGUACCGUGAGGGAAAGGUGAAAAGCACCCCGGAAGGGGAGUGAAAUAGAACCUGAAACCGUGUGCCUACAACAAGUCAAAGCCCGUUAAUGGGUGAUGGCGUGCCUUUUGUAGAAUGAACCGGCGAGUUACGAUUGCAUGCGAGGUUAAGUUGAAGAGACGGAGCCGCAGCGAAAGCGAGUCUGAAUAGGGCGUUUGAGUAUGUAGUCGUAGACCCGAAACCAUGUGAUCUACCCAUGUCCAGGUUGAAGGUGCGGUAAAACGCACUGGAGGACCGAACCCACGUACGUUGAAAAGUGCGGGGAUGAGGUGUGGGUAGCGGAGAAAUUCCAAACGAACUUGGAGAUAGCUGGUUCUCUCCGAAAUAGCUUUAGGGCUAGCCUCGGAAUUGAGAAUGAUGGAGGUAGAGCACUGUUUGGACUAGGGGCCCAUCUCGGGUUACCGAAUUCAGAUAAACUCCGAAUGCCAUUCAUUCAUAUCCGGGAGUCAGACUGUGAGUGAUAAGAUCCAUAGUCGAAAGGGAAACAGCCCAGACCACCAGCUAAGGUCCCAAAAUAUAUGUUAAGUGGAAAAGGAUGUGGGGUUGCACAGACAACUAGGAUGUUGGCUUAGAAGCAGCCAUCAUUUAAAGAGUGCGUAAUAGCUCACUAGUCGAGUGACCCUGCGCCGAAAAUGUACCGGGGCUAAACAUAUUACCGAAGCUGUGGAGUACACCUUUAGGUGUAUUGGUAGGAGAGCGUUCUAAGGGCGUCGAAGGCAGAUCGUGAGGACUGCUGGAGCGCUUAGAAGUGAGAAUGCCGGUAUGAGUAGCGAAAGACAGGUGAGAAUCCUGUCCACCGAAUGACUAAGGUUUCCUGGGGAAGGCUCGUCCGCCCAGGGUUAGUCGGGACCUAAGCCGAGGCCGACAGGCGUAGGCGAUGGAUAACAGGUUGAUAUUCCUGUACCCGUUGUUUUUGUUUGAGCAAUGGAGGGACGCAGGAGGCUAAGGAAUGCAGACGAUCGGAAAUGUCUGUCCAAGCAGUAAGUCUGAAGAGGAGUUAAAUGCUUCUUUUCUUAAGGACAAGCUGUGAUGGGGAGGGAAAUAAUAGUACCGAAGUUCCUGAUGUCACACUGCCGAGAAAAGCUUCUAGUGAGAAAACAGCGGCCCGUACCGCAAACCGACACAGGUAGUCGAGGAGAGAAUCCUAAGGUGAGCGAGAGAACUCUCGUUAAGGAACUCGGCAAAAUGACCCCGUAACUUCGGGAGAAGGGGUGCUGAUCAUACGAUCAGCCGCAGUGAAUAGGCCCAAGCGACUGUUUAUCAAAAACACAGGUCUCUGCAAAAUCGUAAGAUGAAGUAUAGGGGCUGACGCCUGCCCGGUGCUGGAAGGUUAAGAGGAGUGCUUAGCGCAAGCGAAGGUACGAAUUGAAGCCCCAGUAAACGGCGGCCGUAACUAUAACGGUCCUAAGGUAGCGAAAUUCCUUGUCGGGUAAGUUCCGACCCGCACGAAAGGCGUAACGAUUUGGGCACUGUCUCAACGAGAGACUCGGUGAAAUUUUAGUACCUGUGAAGAUGCAGGUUACCCGCGACAGGACGGAAAGACCCCAUGGAGCUUUACUGUAGUUUGAUAUUGAGUGUCUGUACCGCAUGUACAGGAUAGGUAGGAGCCGUAGAAAUCGGAACGCUAGUUUCGAUGGAGGCGCUGGUGGGAUACUACCCCUGCGUUAUGGCCACUCUAACCCGCACCACUAAUCGUGGUGGGAGACAGUGUCAGAUGGGCAGUUUGACUGGGGCGGUCGCCUCCUAAAAGGUAACGGAGGCGCCCAAAGGUUCCCCUCAGAAUGGUUGGAAAUCAUUCGAAGAGUGUAAAGGCAGAAGGGAGCUUGACUGCGAGACCAACAAGUCGAGCAGGGACGAAAGUCGGGCUUAGUGAUCCGGUGGUUCCGCAUGGAAGGGCCAUCGCUCAACGGAUAAAAGCUACCCUGGGGAUAACAGGCUUAUCUCCCCCAAGAGUCCACAUCGACGGGGAGGUUUGGCACCUCGAUGUCGGCUCGUCGCAUCCUGGGGCUGUAGUCGGUCCCAAGGGUUGGGCUGUUCGCCCAUUAAAGCGGCACGCGAGCUGGGUUCAGAACGUCGUGAGACAGUUCGGUCCCUAUCCGUCGCGGGCGUUGGAAAUUUGAGAGGAGCUGUCCUUAGUACGAGAGGACCGGGAUGGACUUACCGCUGGUGUACCAGUUGUUCUGCCAAGGGCAUUGCUGGGUAGCUAUGUAGGGAAGGGAUAAACGCUGAAAGCAUCUAAGUGUGAAGCCCACCUCAAGAUGAGAUUUCCCAUUUCUUUAAGAAAGUAAGAUCCCUGAGAGAUGAUCAGGUAGAUAGGUCAGGAGUGGAAGUACAGUGAUGUAUGGAGCGGACUGAUACUAAUCGAUCGAGGACUUAACCAAU
rnacentral:rRNA from 1 species